GGGAAAGUGGCUCAGGGGUAGAGUGCUUGCCUUGAAUGCAUGAGGCCCUGGGUUCGAUUCCUCAGCACCA
rnacentral:tRNA from 1 species